GAUGAACGCUGGCGGCGUGCCUAAUACAUGCAAGUCGAGCGAAUGGAUUAAGAGCUUGCUCUUAUGAAGUUAGCGGCGGACGGGUGAGUAACACGUGGGUAACCUGCCCAUAAGACUGGGAUAACUCCGGGAAACCGGGGCUAAUACCGGAUAACAUUUUGAACCGCAUGGUUCGAAAUUGAAAGGCGGCUUCGGCUGUCACUUAUGGAUGGACCCGCGUCGCAUUAGCUAGUUGGGGAGGUAACGGCUCACCAAGGCAACGAUGCGUAGCCGGCGUGAGAGGGUGAUCGGCCACACUGGGACUGAGACACGGCCCAGACUCCUACGGGAGGCAGCAGUAAGGAAUCUUCCGCAAUGGACGAAAGUCUGACGGAGCAACGCCGCGUGAGUGAUGAAGGCUUUCGGGUCGUAAAACUCUGUUGUUAGGGAAGAACAAGUGCUAGUUGAAUAAGCUGGCACCUUGACGGUACUUAACCAGAAAGCCACGGCUAACUACGUGCCAGCCGCCGCAGUAA
rnacentral:rRNA from 1 species